ACUAGAACUGAGUCUCAGAUUUGUCAGGUUCUGCAAUAUAAAAAAAAAUCAAGACUUUCUAAUGUCCAAAAUUCCCUCCUUAUUGGAGAAACUUCUCUGCUAUGAGAGAAGAAGGCAGGAGAGCCUGUUGAUGAAGGUGGCGGUAAUUCUGCUUGUGGUCAAGUCCCUGGGUGAGCUGUUCCCAAGGCCCAAUUGCAUGUGUGUUCUCUCCACCCCUAGAGUAUUCAUUCCAACCUAUUUUGAACAGUCUGACUUCUGGAGACACAGAAUUUAAUGGCUAUAUUUAUCUUACAACCGCUGACUUCAACUGUACUGUGUGAUAUCUGCUUUUCUUAUUCUUUAACAGCAUCUCUGGUCCUUCUCAUAAGUGAAAAUCAAGUCAGGUCCCUAUCUCCAAUGUUAAUUCAAAUUUAGGUUUCCUUUAGGACUCCUAGAGUUUCACAGAGCACCCAAAAGAUUUGGAAAGGAAGAUAGUUCAGGAUAAUCUGAGUAGUACAUUUCCCUCUGCUGCUUUUAUUUGCAUGUUUUGCUGGUGGGUAUGAUAGGAUGAAAGAGGUUGGGUCACAAUCAUCUCAUGGUUACAUGGUGUAAUUGCAGUCCAUUUCUAGCAAUGCUGGCUAGAUAAUUAUACCUUCACCCAGAAGUUUACCUUGAAUUAUGGAUGUGUGUUUUUGAGUCCUUAGAAAGGGGGUAGUCAUUACAACUGCAUAUUUCCUGAUGAACCAGUCUGGACAAGACUUACUUCUUCGUCCAUACAAAUGCUACCAUGGGCCUCCACACAACCUCCUCAUUUUCUGUCUUGGUUGUUUUUCAUUCCAGUAUGUUGGCUUCUUGAGGUCCCCUCUCCAGUUGACAGGUAAUCUUGAGUGAUAUCCUGGAAAUAUGGCUAAAAUGUUGGUACCUGUGGGGGAAAUUACUUAGUCAUACUACAAUACAUGGUGGAGAAUAUGCCCGUUCUGUCCCCUUUUCUACACCUCCAUGUCUCUCACAUGUAUAGGCAGAUACUUAGGAGUAAAAUGUUAUCCUCUUGCUGUAGACACCUCAGUGUUGGAGAAUCUGAUAAAAACACCCUUAUUUGGCUUCAUUAAGGGAGGGAGAAUUUUAGUGACCUCACUUAUCCCUCUGUCAUAGGCCAAGAACUCAGAACUGCAUGCUUCUAAUUCUCUGCAGAUGUCUGGUGAGAUGAUUAGAGAUAAGAGCUGCUUCAGCCACUUAUUAAGAGGUUUUGGUAUUUGAAAGUCUAUGAAAUUAGCUUCAGAUCACAAUAGUACAUUUUGGGAAAAUGAAAAGUUGUAUUUAACCUUCUGUAACUUUUUUCUCAUGUUCUGUGAAAUAACAAAUUUUCAUAUUGGUCUAAGCUAGCGGAUUUGGCAUUCUCUCACAGCCAAAAGACAUCUGUCUAAUUUAGAUUCUUUCUCCACAGUUCAACUUUUUAUCCACCCCCAAAAGCAUAAUAGACAGAAAACUUAAAUCCAUGUAUUUUUUUUCUCUUGUUCAGAAGGUUUCCAAUAAUCUUCGUGAUGAGAAGGAGAGAGAAUAAUAGACGUGAAUGCAGAAGGCCAGUGGGGCAGCAUCGCUCACUAUCACAGGAAGUUAAGGACUUGGGAAUCCAUCCAAGAGCAUCUUAUGCGAACAGUAUUCCCUUGUUGAACUACAUAAUGUUAUCCCUUCCUAAGUGCAAGAAUAAAGCUGGGUGCAUUCUGGAUGAUGAGGCAACCCUACUUCACCUGGUAUUCUCGCUGCUUGAAGAUUUCAUUGCCUUUUAGAAGUUGGACUAGUCACUGGAUAUUGUCUUUUAUCAUUUCAAAUGUGAUAUUUUUAAAUGAGAAAUGGGCUCUGUUGUCCGUAUUUAUGAACUGUUCGGGUAGGGAGAAAAGCCUUUCCUUCCCAUAUUUUAAACUUGUAAUAAAUAUAUUUUUAAAU